rnacentral:ncRNA from 13 species
ACUACCAUGCCGCCCGCCGGUUUCCACACGGAAUCAAUAGGGAAUCCGAGACGCCACUGCAUGGCGUCAAACGGAACUGCCCCCGCAACUGUAAGUGCCGAGCCUGCUCCUGAAAUGCCACUGGGUGACCCCCGGGAAGGCCGGAGCCAGGUGACGACGCACCAGUCAGGAGACCUGCCGGCACAGCAACAAUCACU